GAAAAUUCUGGCGGCGUGCUUACACACGCAAGUCGAACGGUAAGGCUCCAGCUUGCUGGGGUACACGAGUGGCGAACGGGUGAGUAACACGUGGGUGACCUGCCCUGCACUUCGGGAUAAGCCUGGGAAACUGGGUCUAAUACCGGAUAGGACCGCACCGUGAGGGUGUGGUGGAAAGUUUUUUCGGUGUGGGAUGGGCCCGCGGCCUAUCAGCUUGUUGGUGGGGUAAUGGCCUACCAAGGCGGCGACGGGUAGCCGGCCUGAGAGGGUGGACGGCCACAUUGGGACUGAGACACGGCCCAGACUCCUACGGGAGGCAGCAGUGGGGAAUAUUGCACAAUGGGCGGAAGCCUGAUGCAGCGACGCCGCGUGGGGGAUGACGGCCUUCGGGUUGUAAACUCCUUUCACCAUCGACGAAGGGUUUCUGACGGUAGAUGGAAAAGAAGCACCGGCUAACUACGUGCCAGCAGCCGCGGUAAUACGUAGGGUGCGAGCGUUGUCCGGAAUUACUGGGCGUAAAGAGCUCGUAGGUGGUUUGUCGCGUUGUCUGUGAAUUCCGGGGCUUAACUCCGGGCGUGCAGGCGAUACGGGCAUAACUUGAGUACUGUAGGGGAGACUGGAAUUCCUGGUGUAGCGGUGAAAUGCGCAGAUAUCAGGAGGAACACCGGUGGCGAAGGCGGGUCUCUGGGCAGUAACUGACGCUGAGGAGCGAAAGCAUGGGGAGCGAACAGGAUUAGAUACCCUGGUAGUCCAUGCCGUAAACGGUGGGCGCUAGGUGUGGGUUUCCUUCCACGGGAUCCGUGCCGUAGCUAACGCAUUAAGCGCCCCGCCUGGGGAGUACGGCCGCAAGGCUAAAACUCAAAGGAAUUGACGGGGGCCCGCACAAGCGGCGGAGCAUGUGGAUUAAUUCGAUGCAACGCGAAGAACCUUACCUGGGCUUGACAUAUACAGGAUCGCGCCAGAGAUGGUGUUUCCCUUGUGGCUUGUAUACAGGUGGUGCAUGGUUGUCGUCAGCUCGUGUCGUGAGAUGUUGGGUUAAGUCCCGCAACGAGCGCAACCCUUGUCUUAUGUUGCCAGCACGUUGUGGUGGGGACUCGUAAGAAACUGCCGGGGUUAACUCGGAGGAAGGUGGGGAUGACGUCAAAUCAUCAUGCCCCUUAUGUCCAGGGCUUCACACAUGCUACAAUGGUCGGUACAGUGGGUUGCCAGUCCGUGAGGGCGAGCUAAUCCCGCAAAGCCGGUCUCAGUUCGGAUCGGGGUCUGCAACUCGACCCCGUGAAGUCGGAGUCGCUAGUAAUCGCAGAUCAGCAACGCUGCGGUGAAUACGUUCCCGGGCCU
rnacentral:rRNA from 1 species